rnacentral:rRNA from 1 species
UUCCGUAGGGGGGACCUGCGGAGGGAUCAUUACUGAGUUUACGCUCUACAACCCUUUGUGAACAUACCUAUAACUGUUGCUUCGGCGGGUAGGGUCUCCGUGACCCUCCCGGCCUCCCGCCCCCGGGCGGGUCGGCGCCCGCCGGAGGAUAACCAAACUCUGAUUUAACGACGUUUCUUCUGAGUGGUACAAGCAAAUAAUCAAAACUUUUAACAACGGAUCUCUUGGUUCUGGCAUCGAUGAAGAACGCAGCGAAAUGCGAUAAGUAAUGUGAAUUGCAGAAUUCAGUGAAUCAUCGAAUCUUUGAACGCACAUUGCGCCCGCCAGCAUUCUGGCGGGCAUGCCUGUUCGAGCGUCAUUUCAACCCUCAAGCUCUGCUUGGUGUUGGGGCCCUACAGCUGAUGUAGGCCCUCAAAGGUAGUGGCGGACCCUCCCGGAGCCUCCUUUGCGUAGUAACUUUACGUCUCGCACUGGGAUCCGGAGGGACUCUUGCCGUAAAACCCCCAAUUUUCCAAAGGUUGACCUCGGAUCAGGUAGCAUCCCCCGGC